rnacentral:rRNA from 1 species
UACAGAGGUCCCAAGCGUUGUUCGGAUUCACUGGGCGUAAAGGGUGCGUAGGUGGGCAGGUAAGUCAGUGGUGAAAUCUCCGGGCUUAACCCGGAACUGCCGUUGAUACUAUCUGUCUUGAAUGUAGUGGAGGUGAGCGGAAUAUGUCAUGUAGCGGUGAAAUGCUUAGAUAUGACAUAGAACACCAAUUGCGAAGGCAGCUCGCUACACUAUUAUUGACACUGAGGCACGAAAGCGUGGGGAUCAAACAGG